AUUGAACGCUGGCGGCAGGCUUAACACAUGCAAGUCGAGCGAGCGGCGGACGGGUGAGUAAUGUCUGGGAAACUGCCUGAUGGAGGGGGAUAACUACUGGAAACGGUACCUAAUACCGCCUACCAUCAGUUGUGCCCCGAUGGGAUUAGCUAGUAGGUUGGGUAAUGACUCACCUAGGCGACGAUCCCUAGCUGGUCUGAGAGGCAGACCAGCCCCUCUGGACCUAGGACACGGUCCCGACUCCUACGGGAGGAGGCGGUGGGGGAUAUUGCAUAAUGGGCGCAAUCCUGAUGCAGCAAUGCCGCGUGUGUGAAGAAGGCCUUCGGGUUGUAAAGCACUUUCAGCGGGGAGGCGUUACUCGCAGAAGAAGCACCGGCUAACGCCGUGCCAGCAGCCGCGGUAAUUC
rnacentral:rRNA from 1 species